rnacentral:piRNA from 1 species
UGAGAGCCAAAUCCAUGUCUCCAGUGAGAGC